UACGAAGGGGGCUAGCGUUGCUCGGAAUCACUGGGCGUAAAGGGUGCGUAGGCGGGUCUUUUAAGUCAGGGGUGAAAUCCUGGAGCUCAACUCCAGAACUGCCUUUGAUACUGAAGAUCUUGAGUUCGGGAGAGGUGAGUGGAACUGCGAGUGUAGAGGUGAAAUUCGUAGAUAUUCGCAAGAACACCAGUGGCGAAGGCGGCUCACUGGCCCGAAACUGACGCUGAGGCACGAAAGCGUGGGGAGCAAACAGGG
rnacentral:rRNA from 1 species